UCCAAGGGAUGGUGUUCAUGCCACAGUCUUUCAAGAGGACCACCACCAUAUUUUAGAUGGGGGAACAACCUUCACCUAAUGGAAAGAAAAGGAAGAGAGUGCCUGAGAGCCAUUCUCAACUUGAUCCCAGACAGAGUGAGAUUGAACCGCAAAGAGAUGCUUCACAGGAGACGCUAGUUAGUCUCAAGGAGCAGAAUGCAGGCACUAAUUCACAUUUGUAAGUUAACAGGUAAACAAGUUAAAGACCAGUCCCAGAAUGGGGAAGGUCCAAAAGAAGAUUACAUCCAUGUAAGAGCAAAAAGAGCCCAAGCUACCAAUAGUGACAGCCUGGAAGAGAGGGUGAGUUCUUAUUAUGAGUUAUCCAUGUUUCUCAUGGUGGAACUUCCUUGUCUUCAGAUUUUGAGCAUGUGUAUUUCAAUAUAUGGGUUAGAAGAGAAAAGAUUAGUGAGCGGGUUAGAUAUCUUCAAGAUCUUGUUCCAGGAUGCAACAAGAUUACUGGGAAGGCAGUAAUGCUCGAUCAGAUUAUCAACUAUGUGCAGUCACUGCAACGACAGGUUGAGGUAUGAUACAUUCUGAA